rnacentral:lncRNA from 1 species
CUAAACACCUGUUUAUAGUAACCAUUGUGAGCAUCAGGCUGGAAAAUAUCCCCACAGUGCGACACUCAGUCAGUAGCAGCCGAUGCUGGAGCUCCAGGCAGGCUGGCUGCCAUGGAGACCAGCUGGGACAGCAGCCUCCACAGCUGGGCCGGGCCAGCCCCAGCUGUGAUCCAAGCCACCAUGUACUCCAAGGCAGUGCGGCAGGCUGAGGAAACCAGGGAAGAGCUGGAAAAGAUCCGGGCACGGAUUGACCAUGUGAUCCAGGCCUAUGAGCACAGUGAGCAGGUCUCGUCUGCCCCGCAAGCAGCCACAGAGAUUGUGGAAGAUGUGGAGCAGCUGGUAGCAGUCCUGGAGGACCCCGUGAAGAAGAGGAGAUACCAGCAGCAAGUGACUGUCUUCAUCGUGGGAUACCAGGAGUCCUGUGGGCAGCGCAGCAGCCUCCUGAGCCAGCUUCAGGAGUUCUUCAGCUGCUCUGCAGAGCUGGGGCUGGGGGACGAGAGCCACAGCCUGCCCGACGACUUCCCAAUGCACAUGGGUGACGUGGCUGGCACGGUGACAGCGGCUCUGAGCUCGGCAGAGGCAGCUAUGUCCCGCCUGGUGGAUCUGAACAAGGACAUUGUCAGCUAUGUGACCAGCGCCCUGGCCACACCCAGCCCCAAAAGGAGCCACAGGAAGCAAGUGGAGAAGGCUGUAGACAAGGCUAAGGAAGAGGUGGUCCAGAUCAAACGCAGGCUCCUGCAGGCUCAGGCAGACCUGGAGAUCAAGGAACGACAGCUGAAGGACCUGCAGCAGCUGAGUGAGAUGAGGGCGAAGGAGAGCCAGCUCUUCCGAGCCCAGCUGGAGAGCACCCAGAGACACCUGCAAGGCCAGGAGCAGGAGAGUGGGGCUCAGCGGGCCCACCUGGAAGCCGAGCUGAGGAGCCGGGACUCGUGCAUCGCGGAGCUGGAUGGGUUCCUGCAGGAGAAGGCGUGGUUGCGGAGGGAUGCGGCCACCCAGUGCAGUGACUGUGCCCUGUCCAACCCUGCUGCAUGCCCAGGGGGGCUGCUCCUCUCCGGCGCGGGGGCUGCUGAGGAGGGGCCACCAGCAGGAAGGGAGCUCGGGGAAGGACUGGCAGAGUCCAUGGUGCGACCUGAAGAGGGGUUCCAGAACCCAGAGGACACCCCGGGGCUGGGGGCCCUGGCUGGGCCAGCCAGAGGGCGCAGGGAAGCUGGAAAGGAAGAGGAAGAUGCUGAAGGGGAGCCAGCCACACACCCUGCAGGGGGUGAGAGGAGCCCCAGCUGGGGCACUGCAGUAGGGAAUGGAGCAGUGCAAACGCCAGAGGCCUCGGCUACCUGUGAGCUCCUGGCCCGGCGCCUGGCUGCCCUGGAGGCAGAGUUAGCUGCAGCCCAACUGCAAAGCCGUGAGGAUGCCGAGCACUGGGAGAUGCGCUGCAGGACCAUGGCAGCCAAGUGGGAGGAGGAGAGGCAGAGAUUAUGGCAGCACACAUGGCACCCAGUGGAGGAGGCGCAGCACCUGGAGACGAUGCGCUCAGCAGAGAUGGCGCAGCACCUGGAGACAUCCCAGACAGGGCAUCCCAUGAAGCAGGUGGCCGUGAUGCAGCCAGCGCGGGGAGGGGAGACAGCUCAGCAGGUGGAGACAGUGCUGCAGAACCUGCCAGUGCAGCCAAUGCAGCAGGGGGUGCUGGUGCAACUGGUGCAGCCAGUGGAGCUGGUGCAGCAGACACAGCCGGUGCCACAGGAGCAGCUGGUUGAGGGAGUGGAGACAGCCCCAAAGAGGUUGGCAGCUGGAUCGCAGUUUACGUUGCAGGCCAGAGGUUUCCCUGAGCUGACUCUGCCCCUCACCCCUGCUGGAAUAGCUGCUCCUUCCCCAGGGCCCACCAGGCAUGGGGGUGCUCCCAGAGCAGGUGCUUCCCCAGAUGCCCUGUCCCAGUCCCAGGGCGGGGCAACCCCAGCGCCUGCAGAGGGACGCCGUGGAGCUGACAGCCGCGUGGUGGCCUUCAUAGAGUCCUUGCGGGCAGGGCUUAUGGCUAAAGAGCUCCACGUGCUGGCUCGGCUCCUGGACAGCCCGUGUGGCGGGCUGAUGACAGCGACCCCUGAGGACGCAGCAGGAGCUGAAAUACACAUGCUGCUUGGGAACGCUACCCUAGUUUUUUACAGCUUGCUUGAAGGUAUAAGCGAUAAUGACAAGAUGCUGCACCAGCCCCAGGACAUGAUGUCAGAUCAAGGGGGAGCUGCGGCACCAGCACUGGGAAAAGGCAUUGCCGUGGGUGGAGCAGGCCCGUUGGCUCUGGACCAGCACCCUGUAGGAGGCCACAGCUCCCAUGCUGUCCCGCUAACCCAAGGCCAGCUGAUGAGUGCAGGAGGGGGGCUGAGUCCCAGGUCCGAGCCUGGCAGCGCCGGGGCCAAGAGGAGAGCCCCCAGGGUCCUGUUUACUCAGCAGGAUGAGCAGCACAACAGGCAGGUGCUGGACCAAGGCGUAUGCAGAGGCCAGGUGCCAUGGGGCCUGUACCAGGACGCCAGCCUGUUGAUGGGGGGCUUCCGAUGGCUUCGCCGCCAGAGGUUCGAGGGCCUGGUGAGGGGUUACCUGGCCCAUGUCCGCAUGAAGGAGGCAGAAGAAACCUUGGAGCAACUUCAGGACAGUUGUGGCUGUGUGAAGGCGCAGAGUGCCCUGGGGCGACUCCAAGCACUGAGGCAGCAGAGGCUCCAGCGCUGGCGGGUUGAGCGGUGCCACAGCCGGGCAAGGCAGCUGCAGCUGGCAGAGCUGCUCAGCGAGACGCUGACGCGCGUGGAGGAGCAUUCAGGGCUGUUCCUGAUCCAGCCUGUGCUGCCGUGGGCUGGCCGGCCAACCGCACUAAUCCCUCCUGGAAGGAGUGACACGCAGCCCCAACCCGCUCCCAAGAUGCUGAUGCCAGUGCUGAUGGGACAGGAAGUGAGCAGCCCCCUGGCCAUGCAGGGUCUCCGGCUGCACAGCCCAAGGCAGGCAGGACCCCCCAAGCUGUGGAGCUUCCCGGCACUGGGGAGCAGCGGGGCUUGGCCAGAGCGGGACUUGGAACGGCCAAGCCCACUGGUGAUCACCCCACGGCUACUGGAGAUGGACCUCAAUGGCUACCUGCUGCAGGAGCACCAGGUGAGCAGGAGGAGCCAGCCUGGCCCAGGCCCAGGCCCAGCCAGUCCCAGAGCCAGGCCCUUCGCAGCCUCGCUGAGGAGUUUCCUUCCCAUCCAACGCGGCGUGGCCCUGAUAGGCCCCAGUCUCUCGGAGAGGCCAUGA